ensembl:lncRNA
UUUUUUUUUUUUUUUUUAGAGGGAGUUUCGCUCUUGUUGCCCAGGCUGGAGUGCAAUGGCGUGAUCUGGGAUCACUGCAACCUCGCCUCCUGGUUCAAGUGAUUCUCCUGCCUCAGCUGGGAUUACAGGCAUGCACCACCACGCCUGGCAAAUUUUGUAUUUUUAGUAGAGAUGGGGUUUCUCCAUGUUGGUCAGGCUGGUCUCGAACUCCCGACCUCAGGUGAUCCACCUGCCUCGGCCUCCCAAAGUGCUGGGAUUAUAGGCAUGAGCCACCACACCCGGCCUGAUUAAGUCUUUUAUGGCUGAGGCUGUACCUAACACCCACCUUGAUGGGAUCCAGUUAGUCACUUGUUUCUCAUUUAAAUAUACAACUAAGUUGCAAACUACAAAGCUACACAGUCUACAUCAAGCUAACUACACUAUAUAUAGUUUGAUGUAUAAUCAAUGUACAUUAUGAUGCUACAAAAUGCUUUCUCUUUUGAGAAAGACUUACAUUUUUAAAGCCAGUGGAAAAUAAUCCAAAUUAAAAAUCAACACAACAGAUAUAUAGAAAAAAAAGAAGAGCUAGGAACAAAACUGCCUUGUUAAAAUGCUUCUCUUAGAAAGAUGAUAGCUUGCACAUUUGCAUCUAAUCCACCUGACGCACAGAGCAUUACUGCUGCUUCUGUCUCUUCUUGAACAAAUACAGACCUUGGGCUUUACAGACUAAUUCAAAUGUAUAUAAAUCAAUUGCUUCCUUCCUGCUGUUGCUCUUUUCAGAUAGCAGACAAGAGGCUCUAGUUUCAGGAUGGCAGUCAGGAUGGACACAUAAGAAAGAAACAUUUUAGUUUCAAUGUUACCAUAAAAUCAGAAAGGAAAGCGGCAUGCUAUAUUAUAUAUUAUAGUUCAGGUUCCAUUUCUAACUCCACCUAAAAUGAAUAUGAACACUCAUUUUUAAGUGUUUGUCAGUCAAAUAAAAUAAUAGUCUAAAUUUAUUCACAUAUGCACCAACCAAAGGCCAAUAAACUUAAAAGGAAGCCAAGUGUAAUAAAAAGGCAGCUAUAAGGUCUCCUGUUUGAAUUUUUACCCAGUAAGAAAUAAAUGAUACUUAGUAAUCCAUCUUUCUCCCCCACUGCCAUCCCUUCACACAUCUAAAAUAGGCUAACUUCACCUACUCUAACUUCUGAGAUUGUUUUGGAGUUCCUGUUUUAAUUUUUUGUUUUUAAGACUAGAUAGUUACUAGAAUUUUUAGAUACAGGUUCAAUGGUCAUUACAAUAUACUCUAAGGAGGGCUCUAAUUAUUAUAGGGGAUUUCAAAUUUGCAGUUCAACAGGCAGAGUAGAAAUCAUUCGAUUCUAGAAAUUGGUAUCAUUAGCAUUCUUACAGAAGAAAAAUGGAAUGAGAUUUGACAGAUUAAACACAUAUACCACAGGCUGGGCUGCUAUGUGAAUAGUAUUCAACCCUUCAAAGGGGGAACCGUUUUACGAGGUAACAAGAAUUGCUUGCACUGUAAGAAAUAGUGCAAAACUAACCCCCAAACACCAGCAGAUUAUUUAAUGUUCUUUUGGCUUCCACCUAGUAAGAUACCAUAAAUAAUAUGGUCUACUGGGAAAUGUCCCAUGUAGAAAUAACCUAAUAUAUAAGAAAUGAGAAGGUUCCUUGCUAGAGUAACUCUAUAGAAAAUUAGAAUUCUUUCAUCAGUGGGUCUCAAAAUGUAGUAUGCAUAUAAAUUACCUGGAUUGCUGGGUAAAGAUGCAGGUUUCCUCCACCUACUCCCAAAGCUUUUAGCUCUAUUAGGUCUUGGGAGGGGCUCAGCCUGAAUUUUAAACAAAUCCUUUGUGUAUUCUAAUACAGGUAUCCAUGGUCCACACAUUGAGAAACACUGAUCUUAAAGGUGUGAGACAUCCUUUAUAGCUGGCCUCUUCUGUAGGGUGAUUCCACGGGGGCGGUGUGCUCUGUCCAAAAGUGUGAAUUACCUGCCAUUUCAUCAUUAACCUAUAAUGAAAAUUUGACAAGGAAAGCUCUUGGUUUACAAAAGUCACUUAUUAAAGUGAGAAUUUGUGUUUUUUAAAAAAGAGAUUAUCCCCCAAAUCACAAACUCACUGAAUAACAGCUGAUUGUCUAGAAUCUAUUAUGAUAGCUAGACAAUCUAUUGUAAUAUUAGGGUCCAUGGGGACAAUGAAGAGAGACACAGGGAAAAUAGUGGGGGGAAAAAAGGCAAAAGGCAAUAAUCUACUUAUAAUUCUGCCUAGACCUAGCCUUAUGUGUCAUAUAAAAGUGUACACUAGGCCGGGUGCAGAGGCUUACACCUGUAAUCCCAGCACUUUGGGAGGCCAAGGCGGGCGGAUCACUCGAGGUCAGGAGUUUGAGACCAGCCUGGCCAACAUGGAGAAACCCCAUCUCUACUAAAACUGCAAAAAAUUAGUGGAGUGUGGUGGCAGGCGCCUGUAGUCCCAGCUACUCGGAAGGCUGAGGCAGAAUCGCUUGACCCUGGGAGGCGGAGGUUGCAGUGAGCUGGGAUUGUGCCACAGAACUGUGCCUCAAAAAAAAAAAAAAGUGUAUACCCCACACAAGGGCACUCUGGAGCAAACCCAUUAAUUAGUCUCUCCAACCCCAUUUUCAUACCAUACACAAAACUACCAAAUUAAUCUCUCCUUAAACAUCAAUUCAUUUUUCAGUUAGAGAACCUAUACUAAGUCCCCUGACUCCUCCUCUGGAGUCUAUGUGAACUAUGAACUACUCCGCUUCUGAUGAUGAAGAUUCUGUAUAACGCCAUCUCACUUAACCAAUCCAACCAUAAGUCUGUCACCUUCUCCUAAAGUGGACUUCCCAGCUCCAGUCAGACGGAGCUCACAUUUCAUUAACUUUCGAGGGGUUGACUCUUAGGCUUUACACCUUUGCUCUAGUUGGUCUCAUAACUGAUCAGUAUCCCUACAUGCAAAUACCUUUCACCCUUUCUCAGCCUUUAAGAUAGUCCUUUGAGGCCUACCCCAAAUCCCACUCCCACCAUAAAUCUAAUCCCACCACUACAUUCUUUUCUCUUCAUAUGGAGCAUUUUGCACCUUCACCAAGUACUGAAGCACUUGGCUAUAUUCAACCUUGGGUUUUUUACACCAUUCUUUAGCAUCUUCCCCAUCGCCCACCACCUUUCCAAGUUCCUUGAAGGCGGUAACACUUACAGAAUUUCCUGGUAUCUCCAUCCCCACCCAAUCUCUCACUCAAACAAAAUGCUAGCAUAUAAAAUUGGCUUGAUAAAUAGCUAUCACAAUUUAUGCAUUUAAUUAUCAUCAAAUUGCAUCCCAAUGAAUACCUGUAAAUUGAUUUAUUAAACAAAUAUCUGAGCAACCAUCAUACAUCAAGAGCCAUUCGGAGGCACUGGGGCUAUCCUUAGUGCAUUCUUUGUCCUCAACUAUCUUAUGUAAGCCCUUAAAACAAAAACUAUCUUUUUUCUGCUACUUCAUUACAGAUUCUGAGCGUUAACCAGAGCGUUUUCUACUCUGUAAGUUACUGGCACCACUAUGACAGCCGAGAAGAGAAGCUAAAACACCAGUUUCCCCCAGACCAACAAUGCUGAGUCUUCUAUUUUAUCACAUUAACAACAUGAGAUUAAUUUAAGGUAUGGAAUUUACUUCCUGUGGGUGCCCUAUUCAGUACCUAGUAGAUACAUAUAUUAGAUGUCAGCUGUAAUAAUUUUCAUUUUAAAAGCCACAAACUAAAGAUACAUAUAAACUGCCAUCGUUAAAGAUUUCUAUCACUAUGAUUACCUUUUUCUGAAAUAAUAAAAAGGACAGGACUAUACACAUAGAAAAAAGGCUUCUCAAGGAUUAAAAGCUCUUAUGAGACUUAGUAUUUAUUAUUUUAAAAAAUCAUGGUAAAAUGUAUACAACAUGAAAUUUGCCAUUUUAAUGGCUUAUAUAUUAAGAAAAAUAUUUAAAUAGUACUGUAAUACUAACUAAAACAUGGGAUUCUUUAUUGCAAAAAACUCGCUAUGAUUAAUACCUGAAUUUGGAAACUAGUGUUAGUAUCUUUUUUACAUUCUACUGCUGAAAAAGUAAUUAAAAUAUGCCAUUAGUGGUUAAAUCAUUUGUAUUUCAGGUAGUAAAAUAAAAUACAAUACUUAAUAUUAUACUUCCUAGUUUUUCUUUUUUUUUUUUUUUGAGACGGAGUCUUACUCUUCAUUCCCAGGCUGUGGUGAAAUGGCACGAUCUCCAGUCACCACAACCUCCACCUCCUGGGUUCCAGCAAUUCUUCUCCCUCACACUCCCAAGUAGC